UACAGGGGGGGCAAGCGUUGUUCGGAAUUACUGGGCGUAAAGAGCGUGUAGGCGGCCAGACAGGUCCGUUGUGAAAACUCGAGGCUCAACCUCGAGACGCCGAUGGAAACCGUUUGGCUAGAGUCCGGAAGAGGAGAGUGGAAUUCCUGGUGUAGCGGUGAAAUGCGCAGAUAUCAGGAAGAACACCCGUGGCUAAGGCGUCUCUCUAGUACGGUACUGACGCUGAGACGCGAAAGCGUGGGGAGCGAACAGG
rnacentral:rRNA from 1 species